rnacentral:rRNA from 1 species
UCGUACGGGUUCAGACCCGUGGCGUAUAGCUCAGUAACACGUGGCCAAACUACCCUUCAGAGCGCUAUAACCUCGGGAAACUGAGGCUAAUGGCGCAUACUGCUCGCAGCCUGGAAUGGCGCGAGCCUCAAACGCUUCGGCGCUGAAGGACGUGGCUGCGGCCGAUUAGGUAGACGGUGGGGUAACGGCCCACCGUGCCCAUAAUCGGUACAGGUUGUGAGAGCAAGAGCCUGGAGACGGUAUCUGAGACAAGAUACCGGGCCCUACGGGGCGCAGCAGGCGCGAAACCUUUACACUGCACGCCAGUGCGAUAAGGGGACUCCGAGUGCGAGGGCAUAUCGUCCUCGCUUUUCUGUACCGUAGGAAGGUACAGGAAUAAGGGCUGGGCAAGACCGGUGCCAGCCGCCGCGGUAAUACCGGCAGCCCGAGUGAUGACCGUGAUUAUUGGGCCUAAAGCGUCCGUAGCCGGCCGGACAAGUCCGUCGGGAAAUCAACGCGCUCAACGCGUCGGCGUCCGGCGGAAACUGUCCGGCUUGGGACCGGAAGGCUCGAGGAGUACGUCCGGGGUAGGAGUGAAAUCCCGUAAUCCUGGACGGACUAUCGAUGGCGAAAGCACCUCGAGAGGACGGAUCCGACGGUCAGGGACGAAAGCUGAGGUCUCGAACCGGAUUAGAUACCCGGGUAGUCUCAGCCGUAAACGAUGCCCGUUCGGUGUGGCGCAGGCUACGAGCCUGUGCCGUGCCAAAGUGAAGACGUUCAACGGGCCGCCUGGGAAGUACGUCCGCAAGGAUGAAACUUAAAGGAAUUGGCGGGGGAGCACUACAACCGGAGGAGCCUGCGGUUUAAUUGGAUUCAACGCCGGAAU